UUGCUAGGCAGAGCUUGGCUGGAAGAAAUUCAACUGCAAUGGGGUGAGAUAAAGCUGGUUCAGUUGGAAAAGAUGACGUUGCAGCAAGUGCUAUCCAAGCAUGAGGAAGUGUUCAAAGAGGAGCUUGGAACAUUAAAGGGCACUACUGCUACUCUGCAUGUGCCGACUGACGCCUCACCUAAGUUUUACAGACAUAGAUCAGUGCCAUAUGCUUUAAAAACAAAGGUAGAGGAAGAGAUAGAUCGUCUGCUGCGGGACAAGAUCAUCUCACCUGUUAAGUAUUCAGAGUGGGCUGCUCCUGUUGUUCCUAUCUUGAAACCAGAUGGAAGUAUAAGGUUGUGCGGUGACUACAAACUUACAAUAAACAGAGUGUCAAAACUUGAACAAUACCCAAUACCAAGAGUGGAGGACCUUUUUGCUAGACUGGAUGGUGGUAAGCAGUUCACAAAACUGGACAUGAGUCACGCAUACCAACAAAUUAUCAUGGAUGAGGACUCCAAGAAAUACUUGACUGUGAAUACGCACAAGGGGUUAUUCACAUACAAUCGUUUACCAUUUGGAGUUGCUUCAGCUCCUGCUAUCUUUCAGAGAACAAUGGAGGGAUUGUUGCAAGGGAUUCCUGGAGUAGUUGUUUAUCUGGAUGAUAUAUUAGUAACUGGAGUAAACCAAGACAAUCACUUGAAAACACUUGCUGAAGUAUUGGCAAGGCUGAAAGAAGCGGGGUUGCGGCUNNNNNNNNNNNNNNNNNNNCAGCGGAAAAGGGGAGAGAGCAUGGAGAAGCCUCUUGGGUUCAUGUCAAGAACAUUAACAGCGGCCGAAAAGCGUUAUUCACAGUUGGACAAGGAAUGCCUGGCUGUGAUUUUUGGCAUCCAAAGAUUUCACAAGUACCUGUAUGGUCGGGCAUUCACAAUUUGCACUGAUCAUAAGCCCUUGGUUAAUUUGUUCAAUGAAACGAAGGCAGUUCCGCAAAUGGGGUCACCGAGAGUGCAAAGAUGGGCUGUGAUGUUGCAGGCAUAUCAGUACAAUAUUGUAUAUAAGCCUGGGAAGUAUCACCAAAAUGCUGAUGCUCUGAGUAGACUCCCAAUGCCAGGUGAGGAAAAGCCGGAUGACACUAAUGAGCAAGUGCUGAUGAUGGAUCUAAUGGAUGCCGUGCCUGUAAAUGCCGUGCAAAUUCGAAAAUGGACAUCCCAUGACAUUACACUCUCCACAGUACAUAACUUCAUAUUAACAGGUUGGCCUGAAAACGUAGAGUCACCGCUGUUACCAUACUAUUAUAGGAGAGAUUCUUUAAGUGUUAAGGAUGGAUGUGUGAUUUGGGGGGCAAGAAUUAUCAUACCCUCACAAGGUCGAACGGCUGUAUUGAAACAGUUGCAUCAAACCCAUUCCGGUAUGUCAAGAAUGAAAGGCUUGGCCCAUUCAUACAUGUGGUGGCCUGGUAUGGACCAGGAUGUGGAGAAAGUUGUGCAGAACUGUGAAGUUUGUCAAAGUUUCAAAAAGGCACCUGCUCAAUCUCCGUUGCACCCGUGGGAGUGGCCAGGCUCACCCUGGGAACGACUGCAAUUGACUACGCAGGGCCCUUCAUGGGAAAGAUGUAUCUAGUACUGGUUGAUUCUCAUUCCAAGUGGAUGGAAGUUUAUCCAACUAUGCAUGCUACUUCACAAGUCACCAUUGAGAAACUGAGAAUGUGUUUCAGUACUCAUGGAUUACCUAAAAUGGUAGUCUCAGACAAUGGACCAUGCUUAACCAGUCAAGAGUUUGAAACUUUCAUGGAAAAGAAUGGCAUUCAACACGUGAUGUCAGCUCCUUAUCAUCCGUCUUCCAAUGGCUUAGCGGAANNNNNNNNNNNNNNN
ensembl:lncRNA